UACGUAGGGGGCAAGCGUUGUCCGGAAUCACUGGGCGUAAAGGGCGCGUAGGCGGGUUUCCAAGUCGGGGGUGAAAUUCCAGGGCUCAACCCUGGGACGGCCUUCGAUACUGGGAGCCUGGAGAUCGGGAGAGGUGAGUGGAAUUCCGAGUGUAGAGGUGAAAUUCGUAGAUAUCGGGAGGAACACCAGUGGCGAAGGCGGCGACCUGGGCCAAUAUUGACGCUGAGGCGCGAAAGCGUGGGGAGCAAACAGG
rnacentral:rRNA from 1 species